rnacentral:rRNA from 1 species
CCUACGGGAGGCAGCAGUGAGGAAUAUUGGUCAAUGGGCGCGAGCCUGAACCAGCCAAGUAGCGUGAAGGAUGACUGCUCUAUGAGUUGUAAACUGCUUUUGUACAAGGGUAAACCUGAAUACGUGUAUUCAGCUGAAAGUACUGUACGAAUAAGGAUCGGCUAACUCCGUGCCAGCAGCCGCGGUAAUACGGAGGAUCCAAGCGUUAUCCAGAUUUAUUGGGUUUAAAGGGAGCGUAGAUGGGUUGUUAAGUCAGUUGUGAAAGUUUGCGGCUCAACCGUAAAAUUGCAAUUGAUACUGGCAGUCUUGAGUACAGUUGAGGUAGGCGGAAUUCGUGGUGUAGCGGUGAAAUGCUUAGAUAUCACGAAGAACCCCGAUUGCGAAGGCAGCUUACUAAACUGUGACUGACAUUGAUGCACGAAAGCGUGGGGAUCAAACAGGAUUAGAUACCCGAGUAGUC